ACCUAUGGCUAAAUCGCCCGGAAUUCGCCCGAUCGUAGCCGUUCGCGGAAGCUAAGCCCAGUUGAGCCUGGAUCGUGCGUGGAUGGGCGACUAGCACGUACAAAAAUGUGCUCUAGGCU
rnacentral:rRNA from 1 species